GAGAAACGCUGGCGGCGCACAUAAGACAUGCAAGUCGAACGGAAUUUAGUCGAAUGUUUACAUGAGACGAAGAUUUAGUGGCGGACGGGUGAGUAACACGUGAGCAACCUACCUUAAGGCGGGGGAUAACAUUGAGAAAUCAGUGCUAAUACCGCAUAAUACUACUGAAGGACAUCCUUUAGUAGUCAAAGGAGUAAUCCACCAUAAGAUGGGCUCGCGGCUGAUUAGCCAGUUGGUGGGGUAACGGCCUACCAAAGCGAUGAUCAGUAGCCGAGCUGAGAGGCUCAACGGCCACAUUGGGACUGAGACACGGCCCAGACUCCUACGGGAGGCAGCAGUCGGGAAUAUUGCACAAUGGAGGAAACUCUGAUGCAGUGACGCCGCGUAUAGGAUGAAGGUCCUUGGAUUGUAAACUAUUGUCGACAGGGAAGAAAAAAAUGACAGUACCUGUGGAGGAAGCUCCGGCUAACUACGUGCCAGCAGCCGCGGUAAUACGUAGGGAGCGAGCGUUAUCCGGAUUUAUUGGGUGUAAAGGGCGCGUAGACGGAUCUGCAAGUUGGAUGUGAAAUCCCUAGGCUUAACUUAGGAACUGCAUCCAAAACUGUAGACCUUGAGUAUGGGAGAGGAAAGCGGAAUUCCUAGUGUAGCGGUGAAAUGCGUAGAUAUUAGGAGGAACACCAGUGGCGAAGGCGGCUUUCUGGACCAAAACUGACGUUGAGGCGCGAAAGUGUGGGGAGCAAACA
rnacentral:rRNA from 1 species